rnacentral:rRNA from 1 species
CGAACGCUGGCGGCGUGCCUCAUACAUGCAAGUUGAGCGCUGAAGGUUGGUACUUGUACCGACUGGAUGAGCAGCGAACGGGUGAGUAACGCGUGGGGAAUCUGCCUUUGAGCGGGGACAACAUUUGGAAACGAAUGCUAAUACCGCAUAAAAACUUUAAACACAAGUUUUAAGUUUGAAAGAUGCAAUUGCAUCACUCAAAGAUGAUCCCGCGUUGUAUUAGCUAGUUGGUGAGGUAAAGGCUCACCAAGGCGAUGAUACAUAGCCGACCUGAGAGGGUGAUCGGCCACAUUGGGACUGAGACACGGCCCAAACUCCUACGGGAGGCAGCAGUAGGGAAUCUUCGGCAAUGGACGAAAGUCUGACCGAGCAACGCCGCGUGAGUGAAGAAGGUUUUCGGAUCGUAAAACUCUGUUGGUGGAGAAGAACGUUGGUGAGAGUGGAAAGCUCAUCAAGUGACGGUAACUACCCAGAAAGGGACGGCUAACUACGUG